AGAGUUUGAUCAUGGCUCAGAAUCAACGCUGGCGGCGCGCUUAACACAUGCAAGUCGAACGAGAAAGCGGGAGCAAUCUCGCAAGUACAGUGGCGUACGGGUGAGUAACACGUGGGUAAUCUACCUCAUAGUGGGGAAUAACGCUGGGAAACCGGCGCUAAUACCGCAUAAGCUCGAAAGAGGAAAGCAGCAAUGCGCUGUGAGAGGAGCCCGCGGCCGAUUAGCCAGUUGGCAGGGUAAAAGCCUACCAAAGCUGAGAUCGGUAGCCGGCCUGAGAGGGCACACGGCCACACUGGCACUGAAACACGGGCCAGACUCCUACGGGAGGCAGCAGUGGGGAAUCUUGCACAAUGGGGGCAACCCUGAUGCAGCGACGCCGCGUGAGCGAUGAAGCCCUUCGGGGUGUAAAGCUCUUUCGGCAGGGACGAUGAUGACGGUACCUGCAGAAGCAGCUGCGGCUAACUACGUGCCAGCAGCCGCGGUAAUACGUAGGCAGCGAGCGUUGUUCGGAGUUACUGGGCGUAAAGGGUGUGUAGGCGGUUCUCUAAGUUUGGUGUGAAAUCUCCCGGCUUAACCGGGAGGGUGCGCCGAAAACUGGAAGGCUAGAGUGCGGGAUGGGAGAGUAGAAUUCCUGGUGUAGCGGUGAAAUGCGUAGAUAUCAGGAGGAAUACCGGUGGUGUAGACGGCUCUCUGGACCGCGACUGACGCUGAGACACGAAAGCGUGGGUAGCAAACAGGAUUAGAUACCCUAGUAGUCC
rnacentral:rRNA from 1 species